AUUGAACGCUGGCGGCAGGCUUAACCCAUGCAAGUCGAGCGGAGAUGAGGUGCUUGCACCUUAUCUUAGCGGCGGACGGGUGAGUAAUGCUUAGGAAUCUGCCUAUUAGUGGGGGACAACAUUCCGAAAGGAAUGCUAAUACCGCAUACGCCCUACGGGGGAAAGCAGGGGAUCUUCGGACCUUGCGCUAAUAGAUGAGCCUAAGUCGGAUUAGCUAGUUGGUGGGGUAAAGGCCUACCAAGGCGACGAUCUGUAGCGGGUCUGAGAGGAUGAUCCGCCACACUGGGACUGAGACACGGCCCAGACUCCUACGGGAGGCAGCAGUGGGGAAUAUUGGACAAUGGGCGGAAGCCUGAUCCAGCCAUGCCGCGUGUGUGAAGAAGGCCUUUUGGUUGUAAAGCACUUUAAGCGAGGAGGAGGCUACCUGGAUUAAUACUCUAGGAUAGUGGACGUUACUCGCAGAACAAGCACCGGCUAACUCUGUGCCAGCCGCCGCAGUAACAC
rnacentral:rRNA from 1 species